rnacentral:rRNA from 1 species
GAUGAACGCUGGCGGCGUGCCUAAUACAUGCAAGUCGAGCGAACGGACGAGAAGCUUGCUUCUCUGAUGUUAGCGGCGGACGGGUGAGUAACACGUGGAUAACCUACCUAUAAGACUGGGAUAACUUCGGGAAACCGGAGCUAAUACCGGAUAAUAUUUUGAACCGCAUGGUUCAUAAGUGAAAGACGGUCUUGCUGUCACUUAUAGAUGGAUCCGCGCUGCAUUAGCUAGUUGGUAAGGUAACGGCUUACCAAGGCAACGAUGCAUAGCCGACCUGAGAGGGUGAUAGGCCACACUGGAGCUGAGACACGGUCCAGACUCCUACGAGAGGCAGCAGUAGGGAAUCUGCCGCAAAGGGCGAAAGCCUGACGGAGCAACGCCGCGUGAGUGAUGAAGGUCUUCGGAUCGUAAAACUCUGUUAUUAGGGAAGAACAUAUGUGUAAGUAACUGUGCACAUCUUGACGGUACCUAAUCAGAAAGCCACGGCUAACUACGUG